rnacentral:pre_miRNA from 1 species
CUUCACACAGGGUUUUUGCCAGUCAGGCUUCUGGCUGGAAUUUGGCUCCCAACUGGUUCCAGGCUCUAGCCAGGACCUGACUACAAGUUACUCAGC